AGAUGUGCUGGUAGAACCUGUCCCAUUCCGCGCAUAUCCAAACUGCCAGAAUCCUACAAAGCAGGAUGGGUGAACAGAAAAGAGAAAGCACAAGAAAAGAAGUAACCACAGCCGCCUGGCUCAACUUUCUGUCCUCCAAGAAGUAUGUUUAAACGCUGAUCAGUGCCUGAAUGAGCCCUCAGCCCAAAGGAGGGCCUACUUUAAAUUCUCUUCAAAAUACUUCUCAAUUACUCAUAGUCCACCUGUGUUGGUGUUGUGGUCCAUCAGCAGCCUAUGGAGCUGGCAACGGAGUCAGAUAGCAAUGAGGCUGACAGUAGCGAGGCAGAGGAACAGGAGGAGCCUGUUCCUAAUGCACGCAUGAGAAGAAGGCAAGACCAGCUCAAGCAGAGAGGACGACUCGGGAGUAGGGCCAAGAGAUGAUUGGCCCCUCCCAUAAGGCUUAAAGAAGACCAGCACCGGCAUUUGAGCUUUGCCAGAAAACAACUCUGUAGCUGUGUCGUCUGCUUUGUCCUCUGCUUCGUGUACAUCUUUGUUUUUGCGGCUUCUGGAUGUUUGCCAGGAAGGGCCUUUGGCUGUUUGCCCAAAUGGACUAAGGUUUGUGAGAUAACUGAGGAAUUUGUGUUGGGAGGCAUUUGUUUUACUUUGAGUUGAACGACGCUGGGAAUGAAGUAAUUCCCAGCUGUUCGAAUAAAGUUUGUUUUUCCACAGACUAAGUUUAUUACUACCUACUUGGGCCUGGGUCACAACAGUUGGCUUCUCCCUUAGUCAUACGAAUCAUAUAUCUAUAAACCUAGUUAAUAAACCAAAAAAAAUCCCCCAACGUACAUCAUAUGAUUCCUUCCUCCUACAAAUAUUUAGGAUUGUAAAAUAUGAAAGCCAGGGAACAG